rnacentral:piRNA from 1 species
UGAAGCGAUCUCCUAACAUGUUCAGAGC